UCGAGAAUCUUCCGCAAUGGGCGAAAGCCUGACGGAGCGACACCGCGUGCAGGAUGACGGCCUUAGGGUUGUAAACUGCUGUCACGCCAUAGGAAUGGCCUAUCGUUAAUAGCGGUAGGUUUGACUAAAGCGAAAGGAAGCACCGGCUAACUCCGUGCCAGCAGCCGCGGUAAUACGGAGGGUGCAAACGUUGUUCGGAAUCACUGGGCAUAAAGAGCACGUAGGCGGCUUGUUAAGUUGGGUGUGAAAUCCCUCGGCUCAACCGAGGAACUGCAUCCGAUACUGACAGGCUAGAGGACGGUAGGGGCAAGUGGAACUCCAGGUGGAACGGUGAAAUGUGUAGAUAUCUGGAGGAACGCCGGUGGCGAAAGCGACUUGCUGGACCGUAUCUGACGCUGAGGUGCGAAAGCUAGGGUAGCGAACGGG
rnacentral:rRNA from 1 species